AGGCAGCAGUGGGGAAUAUUGCACAAUGGGGGAAACCCUGAUGCAGCCAUGCCGCGUGUGUGAAGAAGGCCUUCGGGUUGUAAAGCACUUUCAGUAGGGAGGAAGGUAGUGUAGUUAACACCUGCAUUAUUUGACGUUACCUACAGAAGAAGCACCGGCUAACUCCGUGCCAGCAGCCGCGGUAAUACGGAGGGUGCGAGCGUUAAUCGGAAUUACUGGGCGUAAAGCGCAUGCAGGCGGCCUGUUAAGUCAGAUGUGAAAGCCCGGGGCUUAACCUCGGAAUUGCAUUUGAAACUGGCAGGCUAGAGUCUUGUAGAGGGGGGUAGGAAUUUCAGGUGUAGCGGUGAAAUGCGUAGAGAUCUGAAGGAAUACCAGUGGCGAAGGCGGCCCCCUCGGACAAAGACUGACGCUCAGAUGCGAAAGCGUGGGGAGCAAACAGGAUUAGAUACCCUGGUAG
rnacentral:rRNA from 1 species